GCGGACGUGGUGCACGGUACAUCGCUGCAUUCUGUGAACUGGUAAAAAGAGGUUAAAGCAGCUGACGGGGUUCGACUCCCCGCGUCCGCC